UACGUAGGGUGCGAGCGUUAAUCGGAAUUACUGGGCGUAAAGCGUGCGCAGGCGGUUAUGUAAGACAGAUGGGAAAUCCCCGGGCUCAACCUGGGAACUGCAUUUGUGACUGCAUAGCUAGAGUACGGUAGAGGGGGAUGGAAUUCCGCGUGUAGCAGUGAAAUGCGUAGAUAUGCGGAGGAACACCGAUGGCGAAGGCAAUCCCCUGGACCUGUACUGACGCUCAUGCACGAAAGCGUGGGGAGCAAACAGG
rnacentral:rRNA from 1 species